AGUGAACGCUGGCGGCAGGCCUAAUACAUGCAAGUCGAACGGCAGCACAGCAGAGCUUGCUCUGUGGGUGGCGAGUGGCGGACGGGUGAGGAAUACAUGGGAAUCUGCCCAGUCGUGGGGGAUAACGUAGGGAAACUUACGCUAAUACCGCAUGCGCCCUUCGGGGAAAGCCGGGGACCUUCGGCCUGGCGCGAUUGGAUGAGCCCAUGUCGGAUUAGCUAGUUGGCGGGGUAAUGGCCCACCAAGGCGACGAUCCGUAGCUGGUCUGAGAGGAUGAUCAGCCACACUGGAACUGAGACACGGUCCAGACUCCUACGGGAGGCAGCAGUAGGGAAUAUAGGACAAUGGGCGCAAAGCCUGAUCCAGCCAUGCCGCGUGAGUGAAGAAGGCCCUCGGGUUGUAAAGCUCUUUUGUCCGGAAAGAAAAGCGCCGGGUUAAUACCCUAGUGUCCUGACGGUACCGGAAGAAUAAGCACCGGCUAACUUCGUGCCAGCAGCCGCGGUAA
rnacentral:rRNA from 1 species